AUUGAACGCUGGCGGAAUGCUUUACACAUGCAAGUCGAGCGGCAGCGCGGCCUUCGGGCUGGCGGCGAGCGGCGAACGGGUGAGUAAUGCAUCGGAACAUGCCCAGUCGUGGGGGAUAACACUUCGAAAGAAGUGCUAAUACCGCAUACGUCCUGAGGGGGAAAGCGGGGGAUCGCAAGACCUCGCGCGAUUGGAGUGGCCGAUGUCAGAUUAGCUAGUUGGUGGGGUAAAGGCCUACCAAGGCGACGAUCUGCAGCUGGUCUGAGAGGAUGAUCAGCCACACUGGGACUGAGACACGGCCCAGACUCCUACGGGAGGCAGCAGUGGGGAAUUUUGGACAAAGGGGGCAACCCUGAUCCAGCCAUUCCGCGUGAGUGAAGAAGGCCUUCGGGUUGUAAAGCUCUUUCGGCAGGAACGAAACGGUGGGCUCUAACAUAGUCCGCUAAUGACGGUACCUGAAGAAGAAGCACCGGCUAACUACGUG
rnacentral:rRNA from 1 species